GACGAACGCUGGCGGCGUGCCUAAUACAUGCAAGUCGAGCGAAUGGAUUAAGAGCUUGCUCUUAUGAAGUUAGCGGCGGACGGGUGAGUAACACGUGGGUAACCUGCCAUAAGACUGGGAUAACUCCGGGAAACCGGGGCUAAUACCGGAUAACAUUUUGAACCGCAUGGUUCGAAAUUGAAAGGCGGCUUCGGCUGUCACUUAUGGAUGGACCCGCGUCGCAUUAGCUAGUUGGUGAGGUAACGGCUCACCAAGGCAACGAUGCGUAGCCGACCUGAGAGGGUGAUCGGCCACACUGGGACUGGGACACGGCCCAGACUCCUACGGGAGGCAGCAGUAGGGAAUCUUCCGCAAUGGACGAAAGUCUGACGGAGCAACGCCGCGUGAGUGAUGAAGGCUUUCGGGUCGUAAAACUCUGUUGUUAGGGAAGAACAAGUGCUAGUUGAAUAAGCUGGCACCUUGACGGUACCUAACCAGAAAGCCACGGCUAACUACGUGCCAGCAGCCGCGGUAA
rnacentral:rRNA from 1 species